AUUCUACUCCCUCCGUCCGAAAAUACUUGUCAUCAAAAUGGAUAAAAAUAAAUGUAUCUAAAACUAAAAUACGUCUAGAUACAUUUCCUUUUAUCCAUUUUGAUGACAAGUAUUUCCGGACGGAGGGAGUAUUUG
rnacentral:pre_miRNA from 1 species